CCCUGUGGUGGUUUUCAUUCUGGCACAUUUGUUAAGUUUUCAAAUGGGCCUGAUUCUGCCACAGAUAUUGCAUAGGAGCUGGUAAAGGCUGGAUGACAAAGCGAUCUUUCUCUAGCCUUUUUCCACAUCAGAGAUUGGCUCCCACAUGU